GGAAUCUUGGACAAUGGGGGCAACCCUGAUCCAGCGACGCCGCGUGGGUGAUGAAGGCCUUCGGGUUGUAAAGCCCUUUCGACGGGGACGAUGAUGACGGUACCCGGCGAAGAAGCACCGGCUAACUCCGUGCCAGCAGCCGCGGUAAGACGGAGGGUGCUAGCGUUGUUCGGAAUUACUGGGCGUAAAGGGCACGUAGGCUGGCUGUUAAGUCGGGGGUGAAAUCCUGAGGUUCAACCUCAGAAUUGCCUCCGAUACUGGCGGUCUCGAGUGCGGGAGAGGUGAGUGGAAUUCCCAGUGUAGAGGUGAAAUUCGUAGAUAUUGGGAAGAACACCAGUGGCGAAGGCGGCUCACUGGCCCGCAACUGACGCUGAGGUGCGAAAGCGUGGGGAGCAAAC
rnacentral:rRNA from 1 species